rnacentral:rRNA from 1 species
GAUGAACGCUGGCGGCGUGCCUAACACAUGCAAGUCGAACGGAGAUUACGGACGGAAGUUUUCGGAUGGAAGACUGUAAUUCUUAGUGGCGGACGGGUGAGUAACGCGUGGGCAACCUGCCCUAUACAGGGGGAUAGCAGCUGGAAACGGCUGGUAAGACCGCAUAAGUCGGUUAAAUCGCAUGAUUUGACCGGGAAAUGAGCAAUCAGGUAUAGGAUGGGCCCGCGUCCGAUUAGCCAGUUGGCAGGGUAAAAGCCUACCAAAGCGACGAUCGGUAGCCGGACUGAGAGGUCGGACGGCCACAUUGGGACUGAGACACGGCCCAAACUCCUACGGGAGGCAGCAGUGGGGGAUAUUGCACAAUGGAGGAAACUCUGAUGCAGCGACGCCGCGUGAGUGAAGAAGUAUUUCGGUAUGUAAAGCUCUAUCAGCAGGGAAGAUGAUGACGGUACCUGACUAAGAAGCCCCGGCUAACUACGUG